rnacentral:lncRNA from 1 species
AAAGAAAUAGAACACAAAUUUUUUGUCACUGCUAGUAGUCUGCUGAAGACACAUCCUCAUUGGCUGGAUCGGCUGGAGGGUGAGGAGUAGGGGAAGGCACUGGAGGAGGGGGCGGUGGUUGAUGUGUGCUAUUUGUGUUAACUACAAUCUAAGGCAGUGUACUUAUCGAUGCAGUCUAGCAAUAAUGGCGAGUAUCAAGUUCGUAUUCCUCGGGAAAGUGAAAGCCCAGAGUUACUCCUUUGUUCUUUGUUAUAUUAACCUAAAAUGAGUGAUGAAUAAUUUCUAAACUAACUAAUAGCUACAAGCUAAGUUCUAAGAGAGAUGCAGG